ensembl:lncRNA
AGAGGACUUUCGUGUUUGCUCUGCAUCCCUACACUGACACACAGUUUUACUGCAGUCUGAGUCAUCUCCAGAAUAUCAGCUAAAUCCUGGCUGAAGACAAGAUCUCCAUAAAGCAGGGCUUGCUUUUCUUUUUAUGAUGUUUCAAAUGCAAAAUGUUGCUUUCUUGGAUGCUCAGUUAUUUUUUGAACAAAUAUGCUCCAAAAGAAAAGGUGCUUUCACAUUUGCUGUUCCAGAACACAGCAGAAGAAACAAACUACAGAGAGGAUGUACUUGGGAAGUCUGUACAGGUGGAACCAACGUUUGUGCUGCAACACAAGGCAACAAAAGACAGCUUAAGACAGAAAGAAUAUGGGCUAUAAGUGGUGUUAUACCACCUCGCUAUCUGAGCACGUGGACUUUCGAGGGCAGACAUCCCCUGUUUUGAAUGUUUUAAUCCCAUAGUCUUCCAUUCUCUGAGAAGGGGGAUUCAGCACCCACUAACUAUAUCUUUUUUUUCCUCAGAGAGCCCAGUUUUAGCCUUUGUGUUUCAUUCGCUGCUGCUCUCAAUUCACUGGGGUGCCAUAGUCAUGAAUACACUGAGAUCUUUAAGUAUUUAUUACUUUGGCAACACCUUUCACAGCCCAUCAGUUUUCAUAAUUAAGUUCAUAGAUCUGCAUUACCUAGCAUAAGUUUUGAUCCAUAUUGUUUGCUGAGUUGGUCAUGAUUUGCUGGCUUUUUAUGAAACAGCAUUUUACUAGUCAAAUUCCUGGACUGUGCUUAUUAAUACAGUAGGCUCAAAUUUAUCAUACUUUAAAAAUCUGUUAUUUUGGACAGGGGGAAAAAAACCCAUCAUUUUGCUUCAUCCUGCAGGAGAACCGAGCCAUCUAUUUUAUUUAACCUUAACGAGGCAGCAGUCU